rnacentral:lncRNA from 1 species
AAUAGUUAUUCUAAUGCAAUUAUUUUGUAUCAAUGAUUCUGAUUGGAUGACAGUUAGCGUAAAAUUCUCUAUCUCCUUGUCUGUAACUAAGGAAGCCGACAUUUUGAAUUGCUGAAUGUAUUGACAUGUAAUUUCUACAAUAAUAAGCAAAAAAACUCACAUGUUGCACCUAAAAAUUUUCUUUUUAUCAAACUUUAUUACAUUCUGAAGCGACACAGAAGCCAAAAAAACGCCCAGUGUUUAUGUUUGACGCCGGAAGCAUACCUAUGAUGUCACCUAGUGUAGGGACCAAAGAAGAUAACAUAUUUUCGCAGAAUUUUCUUUAAUGAAGAUUUUACACUGAAAUAAUGAUUGAAAUUUAAUUAUGAACUUGUUUUGCAUUAGAAUAGAGAUAACUGUAUUGUAUUUGAAGCUUUUGUAGACGUCCAUCGGUAGUUUUACUGUCGCAAAUACCCGUUUACCUGUCUCCGCUCCGCGUCGCCAGGUAAACUAAAUUUGCG